GCCAACGAGGCGCAGACUCAGAAUGCCGUGAGUGAUCUCACAUGGCUCCCCGCCCCCAUCUUCGUGGCGGGGCGGCCCUCAGAGCAGAGCAGGGGCCGGGGUGCGGGUCAGUUUCCGGUGGCCAGUUGGCUGGCUAACAAACGGAGCUGAAGGCGGGGCCCCGGGGCUUUGCCUUUGUCAGCAAAGUGCUCAGCCAGUGCUUCAUCAUCAGAAACUAAAGAGUACUUAAACGAUACCGGCUCAGGUUGGCGGUCAUAAUUCAUUGGCCUCCAGCGGCUUCUGGCUCUCUGGUGCCUUUUCUCUUCCCCGUUCCUGUUUUGCUGCAGUCGGCGUUCUAAGGCUCUCGGUGCUUAGGACGGACCUGUGACCACAGGAGAGCACAGAGGAUGCUUUUCAAAGACAGCGCUAUCGGAGAGGAGACUGCAUCUGUGAAGAAGCUGUGAUUUACGGAGCCGAGCACGACCACAAAUUCCAACGAAGCAUUAAUAUUAAUCGCUUGCCGUAAAAUUCUGGGCUGGGAUGUGAAGUCUACACUCUUGACGAGCCACCUGUCCUCUUCAAAAGAUGAACCGGCAACACCUUCGACCCGCAGAGUCUACACAACCAAUGUGUGGCUGGGAGGUAACCAGCACAGAUUGCUGUCGAGAGAAAAGUGUGUGGAGAACACCAUUAUCAGAAAAUUCACUGGGACCUAUGAAUUGGAUCAAAAGUGAUGUCACAAUUACUGUCUUGGUGGUGGCAGGGGUCAUCUCUGAACAACAUUACGCAAAUUACCGGAUGAGCACUGGGUAGGUUAGUGAGCUGUUUGGUAGAGGCAGGAAGUCCCCUUUCUACAGCUAACACAACUCUGUUUCAUUUUCAUCCUGGAAAAGAACAUCCCAUCCCCACUGUGUGUAGCAAUUUAAUGAUUAGCAAUAAAGAAGGCUCCAAAUCA